rnacentral:rRNA from 1 species
GCGGCCUAUCAGCUUGUUGGUGGGGUAAUGGCCCACCAAGGCGACGACGGGUAGCCGGCCUGAGAGGGCGACCGGCCACACUGGGACUGAGACACGGCCCAGACUCCUACGGGAGGCAGCAGUGGGGAAUAUUGCGCAAUGGGCGGAAGCCUGACGCAG